UUCGCAAUGCCCGAAAGGGUGACGAAGCGACGCCGCGUGUGGGAAGAAGGCCUUCGGGUUGUAAACCACUGUCGGGAGUUAAGAAAUGCAAGGGUGCUAAUAGUAUCCUUGCUUGACUAAGGCUCCGGAGGAAGCCACGGCUAACUCUGUGCCAGCAGCCGCGGUAAUACAGAGGCGGCAAGCGUUGUCCGGAAUUAUUGGGCGUAAAGAGCACGUAGGCGGCUAUGUAAGUCGGUUGUGAAAGCCUUCCGCUCAACGGAAGAACAGCAUCCGAUACUGCAUGGCUUGAGUGCGGGAGGGGAGAGUGGAACUUCUGGUGGAGCGGUGAAAUGCGUAGAUAUCAGAAGGAACGCCGGCGGCGAAAGCGGCUCUCUGGCCCAUAACUGACGCUGAGUGUGCGAAAGCUAGGGGAGCAAACGGGAUUAGAUACCCCGGUAGUCCUAGCCGUAAACGAUGGGCACUAAGUAGAGGGGUUUU
rnacentral:rRNA from 1 species